GAUGAACGCUGGCGGCGUGCCUAAUACAUGCAAGUCGAGCGAACGGACGAGAAGCUUGCUUCUCUGAUGUUAGCGGCGGACGGGUGAGUAACACGUGGAUAACCUACCUAUAAGACUGGGAUAACUUCGGGAAACCGGAGCUAAUACCGGAUGAUAUUUUGAACCGCAUGGUUCAAAAGUGAAAGACGGUCUUGCUGUCACUUAUAGAUGGAUCCGCGCUGCAUUAGCUAGUUGGUAAGGUAACGGCUUACCAAGGCAACGAUGCAUAGCCGACCUGAGAGGGAGGUCGGCCACACUGGAACUGAGAAACGGUCCAGACUCCUGCGGGAGGCAGCAGUAGGGAAUCUUCCGCAAUGGGCGAAAGCCUGACGGAGCAACGCCGCGUGAGUGAUGAAGGUCUUCGGAUCGUAAAACUCUGUUAUUAGGGAAGAACAUAUGUGUAAGUAACUGUGCACAUCUUGACGGUACCUAAUCAGAAAGCCACGGCUAACUACGUG
rnacentral:rRNA from 1 species